rnacentral:rRNA from 1 species
AGCGAACGCUGGCGGCAGGCCUAACACAUGCAAGUCGAACGGACCCUUCGGGGUUAGUGGCGGACGGGUGAGUAACACGUGGGAACGUGCCUUUAGGUUCGGAAUAGCUCCUGGAAACGGGUGGUAAUGCCGAAUGUGCCCUUCGGGGGAAAGAUUUAUCGCCUUUAGAGCGGCCCGCGUCUGAUUAGCUAGUUGGUGAGGUAACGGCUCACCAAGGCGACGAUCAGUAGCUGGUCUGAGAGGAUGACCAGCCACACUGGGACUGAGACACGGCCCAGACUCCUACGGGAGGCAGCAGUGGGGAAUCUUGCGCAAUGGGCGAAAGCCUGACGCAGCCAUGCCGCGUGAAUGAAGAAGGUCUUAGGAUUGUAAAAUUCUUUCACCGGGGACGAUAAUGACGGUACCCGGAGAAGAAGCCCCGGCUAACUUCGUGCCAGCAGCCGCCGCGG